rnacentral:rRNA from 1 species
GGGCCCGCACAAGCGGUGGAGCAUGUGGUUUAAUUCGAUGAUACGCGAGGAACCUUACCAGGGCUUAAAUGUAGUUUGACCGGUCUGGAAACAGACUUUCUCUUCGGAGCAGAUUACAAGGUGCUGCAUGGUUGUCGUCAGCUCGUGCCGUGAGGUGUUAGGUUAAGUCCUGCAACGAGCGCAACCCACAUCCCUAGUUGCCAGCAGUUCGGCUGGGCACUCUAUGGAAACUGCCCGUGAUAAGCGGGAGGAAGGUGUGGAUGACGUCAAGUCCUCAUGGCCCUUACGGGUUGGGCUACACACGUGCUACAAUGGUGGUGACAAUGGGUUAAUCCCAAAAAGCCAUCUCAGUUCGGAUUGGGGUCUGCAACUCGACCCCAUG